rnacentral:rRNA from 1 species
GGACUUCUCCCUUUCAUUCAGUUGGUUAGCCGGUCGACGCCACCCAACAAUGCUCCAGCACUCACCGCGCUUAUUGAUCAUUGGAGGCCGGAGACACACACUUUCCAUCUUCGGACCGGGGAGAUGACCGUGACGCUCCAGGAUAUAGCUAUGAUCACCGGUCUUCCUAUUGACGGGAUUCCUUUAUGUAUGAGCACCGAUUCUGAUGGGUGGCGCGAGCAGAUGUUUGCCCUUAUUGGUAAUGUUCCUCCGGAGCCUCGUGAACCAGAAGAAGAAGGCAAGAAGAAGGUUAGAGUCGCAGCCGGUGCUACUUUCUCGUGGAUUGUAUCGAACUUUGGUUAUUGCCCUGAGGAUGCUGAUGAGGACACGGUGAAGACAUAUGCUCGUGUCUACAUGUGGUACGUUAUAUCCAGGACUAUGUUUGCUGAUGGCACUGGCAAGAAUGCUCCAUGGAUGUGGCUGAAGGCGUUGACCGUCUUCGAUAGCAAAUGGAGUUGGGGUUCGGCGGCACUUGCUUACUUGUAUAGACAGUUGGACGAAGCCUCUUGUAGGCUAUCUGGAGGUAUUGGUGGUUGUUUGCUCGCACUCUCCAUAUGGAGCUGGGAGCGUUUGCCGGUUGGACGACCGAAGGUCGUGAAGUUCGAUGAUUGGGACGAAAAAGGCGACCCACUACGGCUCCCCACUUGGGCUUACAAGUGGGAUUUGUUAAAUGAGAUGACGGAUGAUCCCUCGGUCAUGUACAAGCUGUACAGGAGCGAGAUGGACGCGCUCACGCCUGAGCAGGUUGAAUGGGAACCGUACGGAAAAGGAGAUAGCUUUGGGAACCCUAUAGAGUUCAAGCUGAAUCCGAUGUGCCUUAGAGAUAGGGAUCUCUGGCAUAUGCGGACUCCACUCAUAUGCAACUGGGCGGUUGAGAUUCACCAGCCACAUCGGGUGUUCCGCCAGUUUGGUUUGUUUCAGCCACACCCGCCAGAGUGGGAGGACACGGACAUAGUG